rnacentral:rRNA from 1 species
GACGAACGCUGGCGGCGUGCUUAAUACAUGCAAGUCGAACGGAGUUAAGGGUUUCGGCCUUUAACUUAGUGGCGAACGGGUGAGUAACGCGUGAAUAACCUGACUCAAAGAGGGGGAUAACAACGGGAAACUGUUGCUAAUACCGCAUGAGACCACAACACCGCAUGAUGAAGGGGUCAAAGAUUUAUCGCUUUGAGAGGGGUUCGCGUCCCAUUAGGUAGUUGGAGGGGUAACGGCCCACCAAGCCAACGAUGGGUAGCCGAGCUGAGAGGCUGAACGGCCACACUGGGACUGAGACACGGCCCAGACUCCUACGGGAGGCAGCAGUAGGGAAUCUUCGGCAAAUGGGCGAAAGCCUGACCGAGCAACGCCGCGUGAAUGAUGAAGGCCUCGGUUGUAAA